rnacentral:tRNA from 1 species
GGUGGGGUGGCUCAGUGGUUAAGAGUGCAUACUGCUCUUGCAGAGAUCUGAGUUCGAUUCUCAGCACCCACCU